rnacentral:tRNA from 1 species
AAAACGGUAGCUAAGCGGUGAAAGCGCACAUAUUGUAUUGUUGGGGGUUCAAGUCCCUCCCGUG